UCGAUUUAUUGCUAACCUGCUGCUUCUUUUCAAGCAACAAAAACUUCACUACAAUUACGCGGCGAAUACAUUAUUUAUUUGUUUCUCCUUUCGACAUUAAUGCUUAUUGUAUUUUUUUUAUUUGUUAUUAUUUUUUCCAGUUCUUUGCACAGAUUUUUAUUUUACAGUUUCAUCGAUCAUGCAUCAUGUUAUUCCAUAAAUGGAAACGCUCUUUUUUCUUUUUUUUCUUUUUUUUUUUUGUUUUUCUUUCUUCUGAACGUGAUCGUCGAUCAGUCUGUGAUCUAUGCUAUCGAUCGACACGUUGCUUCGGAAAAUCGUCACAGCGGAAGUUAUAUCGCGUAUUGAUAUACGAGAACACGAAGAUUUAAGAUUGGAGACAGUUUCACGGGAGGAAAUUCCUUUCCCUUUUUGCUAGUAUUGGUUGUUGGUUCUUGCUUCCGGCUACCAGAGACUUCUGGUAUCCGUUUCCCGAUCGGGUUUUGUUUUUUUGAAAUAUGACAUCCAGGAAGUCAGAUGUCAACUUUUUACAACUUUUCUGCACAGUCCAAAAUCCAAUAUUCAUCGAUAUAAUUGGCGCAGCCGUUAACAAAUAUAAUUAUGCAUAUUCGAAUUGAUAAGUCGAUCAUUGUUAUCAGUGAGUGUCGAUAUGAUAUUUCUAUUUGUCAAACAAAUCCAGAAGCUAAAAUACAGUAUCAAUAGUAUUUCUGGUUGAUUCGUGGUCGAUGAUAAGUCAACGAAUGGGCUAACUAACCGAUGGUUUCGCAGAACGUUUUUUCGCAACCGAGACGGGUCGACGACUCGAAGCUAGAGACGAAAACGCUCCCUUCCGUAUUCGUGGAAUUUCGAGACGAGUAGCUCGCAGUAAACGGUGUGUAAUAUUAAGUUGAGUAAUAAGUUCGCGUUUCUCUAAUAGAACAUUAACGCUGAGAAAAUUGAAGAAGAGUUCCUAGGUUUAUUAUUUAAAAAUUAUAAUUUAAAAAUAUAAAAAUAACAAAUAUAUAAAAAUAUGGAAAUACAGAAAUGUAAGAAUUGGAAUAUCUUUGAAGUUUAUAUAAAAAUAUAAAAAUAUAAAAAUUUAAAAAUAUAUUAUUUUUAAAAAUAUAUUUAAAAAUAAUUUAAUUAUUUUUAUAGAAAAUAUAUUAUUUUUUCUAAUAUUGAAACUUAUAAAUUGAAAAUUUAAAAAAAAAUUAUUACUUAUAACUUUAAAGUUGUUAUUAAGAAUCAAUUUUGAUUUAAUAAAUUUAAUUAAAAUCAAUGAGUUUAAAUUAAGUCUAACUUAAAAUAAAUUAAUUAUAUAUUUAUUACAUAUUUCUAAUUUAAUUCAUAGUUUUAGUACAAUAUUCAUAUACAUAUCUAUUAUACAUUCAUAUUUAAUAUAUUUGAUAAUUAUUUCUCUAUAAAAAAAUGAAUAUUUAAUAAAAUAACGACAUUAUCUAAAAUCAAUCAUCAAAUAUAAUUACAAAUUAUAUAUUUUGCCAAUUAUUCACCAUUAAUAAAUAUUAUUGUCAUUAUAAAUAUAUAUUAUUGUCAUGUUAAUAAUUCUAACAAUUUUAUUUGUAUAAUACUAGUUGAUUAGUUUAAAAUGUACGUAAAAUGUACAUAUAAAAUAUGAAAAAUAAAAAAAAAAUAGAUGAAGAAAUCUUA